rnacentral:rRNA from 1 species
AUAGGGGAGCCGUAGGGAAACCGAGUCUUAACUGGGCGAAUGAGUUGCAGGGUAUAGACCCGAAACCCGGUGAUCUAGCCAUGGGCAGGUUGAAGGUUGGGUAACACUAACUGGAGGACCGAACCGACUAAUGUUGAAAAAUUAGCGGAUGACUUGUGGCUGGGGGUGAAAGGCCAAUCAAACCGGGAGAUAGCUGGUUCUCCCCGAAAGCUAUUUAGGUAGCGCCUCGUGAACUCAUCUUCGGGGGUAGAGCACUGUUUCGACUAGGGGGUCAUCCCGACUUACCAACUCGAUGCAAACUACGAAUACCGAAGAAUGUUAUCACGGGAGACACACGGCGGGUGCUAACGUUCGUCGUGAAGAGGGAAACAACCCAGACCGCCAGCUAAGGUCCCAAAGUCAUAGUUAAGUGGGAAACGAAGUGGGAAGGCUCAGACAGCCAGGAUGUUGGCUUAGAAGCAGCCAUCAUUUAAAGAAAGCGUAAUAGCUCACUGGUCGAGUCGGCCUGCGCGGAAGAUGUAACGGGGCUAAACUAUGCACCGAAGCUGCGGCAGCGAUAUGUAAAUAUUGUUGGGUAGGGGAGCGUUCUGUAAGCCUGUGAAGGUGUACUGUGAGGUAUGCUGGAGGUAUCAGAAGUGCGAAUGCUGACAUAAGUAACGAUAAUGCGGGUGAAAAACCCGCACGCCGGAAGACCAAGGGUUCCUGUCCAACGUUAAUCGGGGCAGGGUGAGUCGACCCCUAAGGCGAGGCAGAAAUGCGUAGUCGAUGGGAAACGGGUUAAUAUUCCCGUACUGGUGAUAAUUGCGAUGGGGGGACGGAGAAGGCUAGGCUGGCCGGGCGACGGUUGUCCCGGUUUAAGGAUGUAGGCAGGUGAAUUAGGCAAAUCCGGUUCACUAUAUGCUGAGGUCUGAUGACGAGUCACUACGGUGGCGAAGUAGCUCAUGCCCCGCUUCCAGGAAAAGCCUCUAAGCUCUAGAUUAUCACUAAUCGUACCCCAAACCGACACAGGUGGUCAGGUAGAGAAUACUCAGGCGCUUGAGAGAACUCGGGUGAAGGAACUAGGCAAAAUGGUGCCGUAACUUCGGGAGAAGGCACGCUGGCGCUAGGUGAAGUGGUUUACCCAUGGAGCUGAAGCCAGUCGCAGAUACCAGCUGGCUGCAACUGUUUAUUAAAAACACAGCACUGUGCAAACACGAAAGUGGACGUAUACGGUGUGACGCCUGCCCGGUGCUGGAAGGUUAAUUGAUGGGGUUAUCCGUAAGGAGAAGCUCUUGAUCGAAGCCCCAGUAAACGGCGGCCGUAACUAUAACGGUCCUAAGGUAGCGAAAUUCCUUGUCGGGUAAGUUCCGACCUGCACGAAUGGCGUAAUGAUGGCCAGGCUGUCUCCACCCGAGACUCAGUGAAAUUGAACUCGCUGUGAAGAUGCAGUGUACCCGCGGCAAGACGGAAAGACCCCGUGAACCUUUACUAUAGCUUGACACUGAACAUUGAGCCUUGAUGUGUAGGAUAGGUGGGAGGCUUUGAAGUGUGGACGCCAGUCUGCAUGGAGCCAACCUUGAAAUACCACCCUUUAAUGUUUGAUGUUCUAACGUUGCCCCGUUAUCCGGGGUGCGGACAGUGUCUGGUGGGUAGUUUGACUGGGGCGGUCUCCUCCCAAAGAGUAACGGAGGAGCACGAAGGUUGGCUAAGCAUGGUCGGACAUCAUGCGGUUAGUGCAAAGGCAUAAGCCAGCUUGACUGCGAGAGUGACGGCUCGAGCAGGUACGAAAGUAGGUCUUAGUGAUCCGGUGGUUCUGAAUGGAAGGGCCAUCGCUCAACGGAUAAAAGGUACUCCGGGGAUAACAGGCUGAUACCGCCCAAGAGUUCAUAUCGACGGCGGUGUUUGGCACCUCGAUGUCGGCUCAUCACAUCCUGGGGCUGAAGUAGGUCCCAAGGGUACGGCUGUUCGCCGUUUAAAGUGGUACGCGAGCUGGGUUUAGAACGUCGUGAGACAGUUCGGUCCCUAUCUGCCGUGGGCGUUGGAAGAUUGAAAGGGGCUGCUCCUAGUACGAGAGGACCGGAGUGGACGCACCACUGGUGUUCGGGUUGUCAUGCCAAUGGCAUUGCCCGGUAGCUAAGUGCGGAAGAGAUAACCGCUGAAAGCAUCUAAGCGGGAAACUUGCCUUGAGAUGAGUCUUCCCUGACCCUUUAAGGGUCCUAAAGGAACGUUUAAGACUAAGACGUUGAUAGGUUGGGUGUGUAAGCAUAGCGAUAUGUUGAGCUAACCAAUACUAAUGAACCGUGAGGCUUAACCUG